GACGAACGCUGGCGGCGUGCUUAACACAUGCAAGUCGAGCGGUAAGGCCCUUUCGGGGGUACACGAGCGGCGAACGGGUGAGUAACACGUGGGUGACCUGCCCUCAGCUCUGGGAUAAGCCUGGGAAACCGGGUCUAAUACCGGAUAUGACUCCAUGACGCAUGUUGUGGGGUGGAAAGCCUUGUGCGGCUGAGGAUGGGCCCGCGGCCUAUCAGCUUGUUGGUGGGGUGAUGGCCUACCAAGGCGACGACGGGUAGCCGGCCUGAGAGGGCGACCGGCCACACUGGGACCGAGACACGGCCCAGACUCCUACGGGAGGCAGCAGUGGGGAAUCUUGCGCAAUGGGCGAAAGCCUGACGCAGCGACGCCGCGUGAGGGAUGACGGCCUGG
rnacentral:rRNA from 1 species